rnacentral:rRNA from 1 species
UGGGGAAUUUUGGACAAUGGGCGAAAGCCUGAUCCAGCAAUGCCGCGUGUGUGAAGAAGGCCUUCGGGUUGUAAAGCACUUUUGUCCGGAAAGAAAUCCUCUGGGUUAAUACCUCGGGGGGAUGACGGUACCGGAAGAAUAAGCACCGGCUAACUACGUGCCAGCAGCCGCGGUAAUACGUAGGGUGCAAGCGUUAAUCGGAAUUACUGGGCGUAAAGCGUGCGCAGGCGGUUUUGUAAGACGGAUGUGAAAUCCCCGGGCUUAACCUGGGAACUGCAUUCGUGACUGCAAGGCUAGAGUAUGGCAGAGGGGGGUAGAAUUCCACGUGUAGCAGUGAAAUGCGUAGAGAUGUGGAGGAAUACCGAUGGCGAAGGCAGCCCCCUGGGCCAAUACUGACGCUCAUGCACGAAAGCGUGGGGAGCAAACAGGAUUAGAUACCCUGGUAGUCCACGCCCUAAACGAUGUCAACUAGUUGUUGGGGAUUCAUUUCCUUAGUAACGUAGCUAACGCGUGAAGUUGACCGCCUGGGGAGUACGGUCGCAAGAUUAAAACUCAAAUGAAUUGACGGGGUCAUAGCU